rnacentral:lncRNA from 1 species
GAGUUACAAACUGAGGCCGCGCGGCGCUGGGCCCGCAGGCCGCCAGUCACAGCCUACAUUUCUGCGUGCUUUCCGAGAAGAGAGAGGCGCCGGGUGGGCUUUAUUAUUUUUCCCUCUUCCCUUUUCCCACAGUGUCCUCUCAUUUUAAAUAAUAAUUAUCCCAAUAAUUAAAACCCAUCCCCCUCCCUCCCCUAUUCCUUCCCUUAACCCCUCCCCCCCCCGCCGGGGCUGGGGAGAGCCACGAAUUGACCAAGUGAGGCUACAACUUUGUGGCAUAAAUUGCGGGGUCCGGAACCAUGUCGCUGACCAACACAAAGACGGGGUUUUCAGUCAAGGACAUCUUGGACCUUCCGGACACCAACGAUGAAGAAGGCUCGGUGGCCGAAGGGCCGGAGGAGGAGAACGAAGGGCCGGAGCCGGCCAAGAGGGCCGGGCCGCUAGGGCAGAGCGCCUUGGAUGCUGUGCAGAGCCUGCCCCUUAAGAGUCCUUUCUACGACAGCAGCGACAACCCCUACACUCGCUGGCUGGCCAGCACCGAGGG